rnacentral:rRNA from 1 species
GAACGCUGGCGGCGUGCUUAACACCUGCAAGUCGAACGGAAAGGCCCUGCUUUUGUGGGGUGCUCGAGUGGCGAACGGGUGAGUAACACGUGAGUAACCUGCCCUUGACUUUGGGAUAACUUCAGGAAACUGGGGCUAAUACCGGAUAGGAGCUCCUGCUGCAUGGUGGGGGUUGGAAAGUUUCGGCGGUUGGGGAUGGACUCGCGGCUUAUCAGCUUGUUGGUGGGGUAGUGGCUUACCAAGGCUUUGACGGGUAGCCGGCCUGAGAGGGUGACCGGCCACAUUGGGACUGAGAUACGGCCCAGACUCCUACGGGAGGCAGCAGUGAGGAAUAUUGCACAAUGGGCGGAAGCCUGAUGCAGCAACGCCGCGUGCGGGAUGACGGCCUUCGGGUUGUAAACCGCUUUCGCCUGUGACGAAGCGUGAGUGACGGUAAUGGGUAAAGAAGCACCGGCUAACUACGUG